rnacentral:rRNA from 1 species
AUUGAACGCUGGCGGCAGGCCUAACACAUGCAAGUCGAGCGAGCGGCGGGGGGGUGAGUAAUGUAUGGGGAUCUGCCUGAUGGCGGGGGAUAACUACGGGAAACGGUAGCUAAUACCGCAUACCAUCAGAUGAACCCGUAUGGGCUGAGCUCGUAGGUGAGGUAAAGGCUUACCUAGGCGACUAUCCCUAGCUGGUCUGAGAGGAUGAUCAGCCACACUGGGACUGAGCCACGGCCCAGACUCCUACGGUGGGAAGCAGUGGGGAAUAUUGCACAAUGGGCGCAAGCCUGAUGCAGCCCUGCCGCUGGUAUGAAGAGGGCCUUCGGGUUGUAAGGUACUUUCAGUCGGGAGACGUUACCGACAGAAGAAGCACCGGCUAACUCCGUGCCAGCAGCCGCGGUAAUAC